UCAAAACAGGUCACAGCUCUCAGUGCUGAAACACUGGUAACUGACCUUGCUCCUUUCUGGUACUUGGACUGGCUGUCUUCAUUGAAGUGGGGGCGGUGAGCCUGGAAUUUUUAAAAGGGAUUGAAUAAUUUUGUGGUAUAUUUCAACUGGAUUGCCACAAAACCCUCUGGAGAACUUUCUUAGUUCACAUCUCUGAAGGUGAAGACAACUGCCAUAUUGGGUAAACAACCCAACAGAAACAUUGGGUUCUGGAUAAAAGCAAUCUCCAAGUCCCAAAUGAGUUGUCCCACCAGUUUUAAAGUAAUUUGCUUGAAAUCAGUGAAGAACAGAUAAUCUGAGUUAUACAUAAAUGGGAAAUAAAAGGAUUCAUUACCAGGCAAAUCACUCUUCAGGUCCAGUGGUCACCAUUUCCCCAAACCAAAGCUCAGCUUUCCUGAUUUUGGCUCCCCUGGUGCAACAGGAGAGCCUAAGGAUGGGGGAUGGAGAGAAAGAGGGUUAAGGGUUAAAAGAGGGUUACCUGGCCACCCUACCCUUUCGCGCAUGGGUAGGUGAUGUGGUUUCACUGGCUUGUAAGUUGGAGCUAGCUGUAUGAACACUGCCCUGGAUCUUUAGAAGAGGAAGGAGUUCUGGAGGGAUUGAGGAAAGAGCCAGCAGAGUAGUGCCAUUGUUGUAGGAACAAAUUCCACUGUCACUGGUGGCAAAGUUUAGGUUCUCGGAGAGUAAAUUCUAUCAUGACCUUGAUUCCUCUUGGUUUCCAAGAGGUUGAAAUCCUGCUGAGCUCUGUAAAUUGUCGUUUGGUUUGAUUUCCAAUAGUCCAGAAUUGUCUAAGCUUGUUUCUGUGUGAAUCAGAGGGGCAGUGUUUUUAUAGGUUAGGCUCCUUCCUGGGCCUGGCUGGAUAUUCCUUCACUGCCCAGACCCUGUGCACCUCACAUUUUGGUCAUUCGUCAUUCUAUUAGCACAGUCUCUUACCUGAAUCAAAAACUCUCCUCUGGCAAAUUGCCACUUUGCCCUGACCAUCUCCCUGACAGUGCUUGCUCUUACUAUCUCAGAAAUAGCCUACUUCAAUGUUUUUAAACUUUAUUACCAACAGGAAAAUAAAUUACAUUAUGACCAGGAA